AUUGAACGCUGGCGGCAGGCUUAACACAUGCAAGUCGAGCGGGGUGAUGGUGCUUGCACUAUCACUUAGCGGCGGACGGGUGAGUAAUGCUUAGGAAUCUGCCUAUUAGUUGGGGACAACAUCUCGAAAGGGAUGCUAAUACCGCAUACGUCCUACUGGAGAAAGCAGGGGAUCUCUUGUGACCUUGCGCUAAUAUGUGAGCCUAAGUCGGAUUAGGUAGUUGGUGGGGUACAGGCCUACCAAGGCGACGAUCUGUAGCGGGUCUGAGAGGAGGAUCCGCCACACUGGGACUGAGACACGGCCCAGACUCCUGCGGGAGGCAGCAGUGGGGAAUAUUGGACAAUGGGGGGAACCCUGAUCCAGCCAUGCCGCGUGUGUGAAGAAGGCCUUAUGGUUGUAAAGCACUUUAAGCGAGGAGGAGGCUCUUUUGGUUAAUACCCAAGAUGAGUGGACGUUACUCGCAGAAUAAGCACCGGCUAACUCUGUGUCAGCCGCCGCCGUAA
rnacentral:rRNA from 1 species